UGGCUGAGCGGUAAAGUGCUUGGCUUCCAAACAGGGAGUCCCGGGUUCGAAUCCUGG
rnacentral:tRNA from 1 species